UAGAAUGUUGUAAAUUCAUUCAGAAAAUUAUUUUAGUAAUCAAGCAGAACCUAGAAUAUCUUUCACUAAAAUUUCAGUCAUUGUUAUUUUUUUCUGCUUAAAAAGUUCUUAGUUUGCCAAUUCUUCAUUCCUAGUUACAAAAAUGGAUAAACUUUUCUACGUGUCUGCAGUGAUGCUUCUAAUUGCAACUCUUUCAACCAGACCAGCCGAGUCCAGUGAAGAGGGAUUGGAACCUUACGAUAAGAGGAGUAGGCUGGGAGUGGGGCGUGUCACUUGGGGAUGGCAUAAGAGAGGGUAUUCGGAGGGGGAGGAGGCACCUAUGGAGGAGGAGGGCAAGAGGGGGCGACUGAGUCACGGCUACUGGGGCAAUGGCGGCAAAAGAAGAAUUUAAAGUUGUUUUAGACUCAACUCAGAUUAGGAAAAACCAGACGUGCUGAAAAUUGGCAAAAACAACAAACUCCUGAAAUUAUGCAUAAUGUGAUAACCUUUUUUCUAAUUUACAAUUAACCAUUCUAAUUAAUUUUUUUAUCAAUUUUUUCA